ensembl:snRNA U4 U4 spliceosomal RNA
AGCUUUGCACAGAGGCAGUAUCAUAGCCAAUGAAGUUUAUCCAAGGCAUGAUUAUUGCUAAUUGAAAACUUUUCCCAAUACCCCGCUGUGACCACUUGCAAUGCAGUCAGCACUGACAAUUUUUGACAGUCUCUACAAAGA